rnacentral:rRNA from 1 species
AGGCAAUGGGUAUUGGAUUGGAUAUCUGAAGCCUCGGAGUUCCACCUGAUGAUAUUUGCAGUAGCUAUGUGGCACAUUUGGGACAACAGGAAUUCUUGCCCAAAUGGUGAGGUCUUACCUCAUCCAUUACAUGUAUUUGGAAAGAUUAAAGCUUACAUUGAUUUUAUUUUGUUGAACAAUGUCAGAUCAGAAGAGUCCAAUAGGCGUGAGACCUUGAAGUCAAUCAAGAAAUGGGCUCCGCCACCGGAGGGCCUAAUGUUGAUCAAUGUAGACGCUGCGAUCUUCUCCAGCACUAGGAAAGCUGGGUAUGGCGUUGUCAUGCGUAAUCAUCUUGGGGUUAUGCAAGCUGCUUGUCGAGGCCUUGUUGAUCAUGUGCAAUGCCCCGAAGUUGUUGAAGCAGUGGCUAUCCUCCAGGCGCUCAAACUGGCCGAAAGCAUAGGAGUUCAAUCAUUCGAAGUGGCGUCUGAUUGUCUUUCACUUGUUAACAAACUGCAACAACACGGGCUGGACAGGACUUCAACAGGUGCCAUUGUUCAUGAUAUUAAAUUGAGAGCCAAAAAGUUUGUAUCCUGCACUUUUAAGCAUGUUAGUCGAGUAUGUAAUGAGGCAGCCCAUGUUCUAGCCAGGUCGGCAUAA